rnacentral:rRNA from 1 species
UACGUACGAGGCGAGCGUUAUCCGGAAUUACUGGGCGUAAAGCGCGCGUAGGCGGGUUGGCAAGUCCGCUGUGAAAGCCCGGUGCUUAACGCCGGAGGGUCGGUGGAUACUGCCAGUCUUGAAGGUGCUAGGGGAAGAUGGAAUUACCGGUGUAGCGGUGAAAUGCGUAGAUAUCGGUAGGAACACCAGUGGCGAAGGCGGUUUCCUGGAGCUAACUUGACGCUGAGACGCGAAAGCUGGGGGAGCAAACGGG